rnacentral:sRNA from 1 species
UGCUUGAAAUUGUCGGGAGGG